GACGAACGCUGGCGGCGUGCUUAACACAUGCAAGUCGAGCGGCAAGGCACCUGCGGGAGUACUCGAGCGGCGGACGGGCGGGUAACACGUGAGUAAUCUGCCCUUCACUUCGGGAUGACCACCGGCAACGGGGGACAUUACCGAAUACGACCAGUCAUCGCAUGAGGUGCGGGGGGAAAGGCAUUUCGGUGAAGGAUGUGCUCGCGCCCUAUCAGCUUGUUGGUCGGGCAAUGGCCUGCCAAGGCAUCGGCGUGUAGCCUGGCUGAGAGGCUGAGCGGCCGAACCGCGACUGAGACACGGCCCGGACGCCGACGUGGGGCAGCAGUGAGGAAGGUUGGACGAUGGGCGAAAGCCUAAUGCAGCAGUGCCGCAGGCGUGAUGACGGCCAACGGGUUGUAAUCCGCUAGCAGUACCGCCGAAGCGCCCCGUCGGGUGGUGACGGUAGGUACAGAAGAAGGACCGGCUAACUACGUG
rnacentral:rRNA from 1 species